rnacentral:rRNA from 1 species
UACAGAGGGUGCGAGCGUUAAUCGGAAUUACUGGGCGUAAAGCGCGCGUAGGCGGCUUUUCAAGUCGAUUGUGAAAUCCCCGGGCUUAACCUGGGAACUGCAGUCGAGACUGUCUAGCUAGAGUAUGGGAGAGGGAAGUGGAAUUUCAGGUGUAGCGGUGAAAUGCGUAGGUAUCUGAAGGAACAUCAGUGGCGAAAGCGACUUCCUGGACCAAUACUGACGCUCAUGUGCGAAAGCGUGGGGAGCAAACAGG